rnacentral:rRNA from 1 species
UAACUGGGCGUAAAGGGCACGCAGGCGGUGACUUAAGUGAGGUGUGAAAGCCCCGGGCUUAACCUGGGAAUUGCAUUUCAUACUGGGUCGCUAGAGUACUUUAGGGAGGGGUAGAAUUCCACGUGUAGCGGUGAAAUGCGUAGAGAUGUGGAGGAAUACCGAAGGCGAAGGCAGCCCCUUGGGAAUGUACUGACGCUCAUGUGCGAAAGCGUGGGGAGCAAACAGGAUUAGAUACCCUGGUAGUCCACGCUGUAAACGAUGUCGAUUUGGGGGUUGAGCUUUAAGUUUGGCGCCCGUAGCUAACGUGAUAAAUCGACCGCCUGGGGAGUACGGCCGCAAGGUUAAAACUCAAAUGAAUUGACGGGGGCCCGCACAAGCGGUGGAGCAUGUGGUUUAAUUCGAUGCAACGCGAAGAACCUUACCUACUCUUGACAUCCAGAGAACAUUCCAGAGAUGGAUUGGUGCCUUCGGGAGCUCUGAGACAGGUGCUGCAUGGCUGUCGUCAGCUCGUGUCGUGAGAAG